GCGGAGGGUGGGAGCAGCCGCCAUGUCGGGUGGUGGUCUCAGCUCUGGGUUUCCGUGCUUAUCUCCCCUCUGUUUAUAGCUAUUCCUCGUGUUGAGCUCGCUGCAUGUUAAGCGGUGUGGAAACGAUCUCUUCUGACCCGCCCGGGUGCCCUGAAGCCGGGGGUGGAGGUGUUGUGAGGCGCCUGGUGCCCCGGCCGCCAUUUCGCGGUGCAGCUGAUGCAGGUUGAGGCCCCGCCGCCCCAUGGAGCUCCUCCAGCAGGGGAUGGCUGCUGUGUCCGCUCACCCUCACAGCGAUAAGUGAGACUCACACAGGUUUUCCUGCCAGACACAACAUUAAACUGAUCACAGCCAUGUUGUAACUGAAGCAGGAACCUCAGACCUGAUGGCAGUAGCAGAUUUAGAGAUAAAAGCACCAAACAAUUAUGUGGUUGCUUCACAAAACAAGAUUGUGUCAAAUAGCACGCAAACAUCCUAUCCCUUCCUGAAGUUGGGUACUUCUGCAGCCUCCACCAUUUGUCUUUAUACAUUAUUACAUCAGAACAAAAAUCCUACUUUAAACUUUGACCAACAAGUUAGGACAGAAUUUUGGUAAUUGCAAUAGAAUUCCAAGUACAUCUACAUUUAACUCCAAUGUACAUUACUAAAAUGAAUGUUCUCAGUUCUCCAGACAAAUAACUGCCAUACCAUUAGUGGAUUCCCUGGCUGAGUUGUUUCAGGCAGGAUUUAAUCAAAGGAAAUACCAGCCUGUCUGUUUGAGACAAGGCGAACUGGUAUAGGAGCUUCAGUAACAGCACUGUCACUGCAACUAGAAUGAAGUGCAAAACUAAAUCCCAUUCUAAACACAUUAAAUGUAUUUUAAUAUCACGAAACAAACAUAUAUCACAGUGAAUCCACACUUCUGCUCAUUCUGUAGGCACACUGUGGCUACCUACAAGUCAGCAUUCUCCAAAAUAAAUUUUGCACAGAUUCUUUCUUUUUGUAAGAUCUGUCACCAUUAGUUUCAGGACAAAAACCAUGAAAAAUUACAUCUCUUCCUUUGGGAAGUGAGAAUUUCCUAAUAACAGACAUCAUUUUGCUUUAAAAAAAUCCCCUGAAAUGAAUUUCGUGAUUCUCCUUUAUGUGUUGCACUUUUUCAGCUCAAGAAUAACGAAGUGACCCACUGAAGAAAGCAAAUAAUCCUCCCUGAAUGAACUUUGACUACCCACCUACCCACCUUAUACACCAUGUUUAGAGUCCAAGUUGUUAUUAAAAUGGGAAACUUAGACAUCAGUCUUUAACCUCAGUAACACAGCACUGAAAAACACUGGAAAAGGCUUCACUUUAAGUUUUGUAGGCAGCACAUCUACAAAGCCAAUUCUCAGGUUCUUAUACACGGCAUUGAAGUGGGACAUUUGACUGUAUUUCUCCAAGAAACAGUGGCAUGGCAUCACUCUUAAGUGCAGCACUUUACAAAAGCACAGAAACAUUUUAAGAAAAGCAAUGUAAAAGCUGCUAGACAUUUGAGCUGGCUUAAGGCUUUGACAUUUUAGAAAGCAGUAGUAAGUGCUUUCCUUCCAAUAGCAGAAAAUAAUAACUUGAUGAUUAGAGUCCAUCCAAGCAAAGGAGCACAGGCAGACAGGACAUUUUCUUUGGUGAAGGAAAAUGUACUGCCUUCUUUCUCUGUUCUCUGCUGGUAUUUAUAACCUGAACUAACAGAAAACUAACAUAAAAAUACUUCCAGAAUCUUUCUGAAAAUCCCAAGCUGCUACUUCAGAGCUUGUGUGCUCUGUAUUUCCUUUUGGGAAUUUAAACAGAGUCAGAUAAGAUAACGGGGAGGAAAUCUGAUGGAGGGAAAACAACAUUAGCCAAUUAAGAUCUGAAUACAAAAGUUAUCUUAAAACAGACCUUAUAUGUUUCUGUUUGUUUUAUAAUGCAAUCAUUAAUGAAAGGUAAGACUGCAAGUGUGGCACUGAGCCCAAGCUAAUAUAGACUGAUGAUCUGAAGCUCCAGCUCAUUCUACUGCAAUCAAAAGAUUUUAUAAAGACCAGAACGUGAAAGUAGAAAGAUUUAUUAUUUCAAAGAUUAUUAUUUUAAAGAAAGAAUC